CUGAGAGGGUGAUCGGCCACAUUGUGACUGAGACACGGCCCAUACUCCUACGGGAGGCAGCAGCUAAGAAUAUUCCGCAAUGGGCGCUAGCCUGACGGAGCAAUCUCGCGUGAAUGAUGAACGCCUUCGGGUUGUAAAAUUCUUUCAGCAGGGAGGAAUAAAUAUUAUUGAAGAAAUAAUAUGAUGACCGUACCUGCAGAAGAAGCACCGGCUAAUUACUGUGCCAGCAGCCGCGGUAAUACUGUAGGGUGCAAACGUUGUUCGGAAUCACUGGGCGUAGAGAGUACGUACGCGGAUAACUUAGUUCAUGGUGAAAACCUGAGGCUUAACCUCAGUGCCUGCCAUUAAAGCUGGUUAACUGGAGUUAUUAAUAGAGGUAGCGGGAAUUCCUAGUGUAGGAGUGAAAUCUGUAGAUAUUAGGAGGAACACCAAUGGCGAAGGCAAGCUACUGGGUGAUAACUGACGCUAAGGUACUAAAGCCAGGGGAGCGAAUGGGAUUAGAGACCCCAGUAGUCCUGGCUGUAAACGUUGCAUACUAGUUUUAUGGAUUCUUGUAAUCUGUGAAACGUAGUUUACGCAUUAAGUAUGCCGCCUGGGGAGUAUGCAUGCAAGUGUGAAACUCAAAGGAAUUGACGGGGGCUCGCACAAGCGGUGGAGCAUGUGGUUCAAUUCGAUGAUACGCGAAAAACCUUACCUAGGCUUGAACGUGUAACGAUCGCCGGCGAAAUCCGGUUUUCUCUUCGGAGACGUUAUGCGAGGUGUUGCAUGGCUGUCGUCAGCUCGUGUUGUGAAAUGUUGGGUUAAGUCCCGCAACGAGCGCAACCCUUAUUCUAUGUUGCUAAGCAGGUUUACCUGCAGGACUCUUAGAAGACUGCCCUGGUUAACGGGGAGGAAGGUAGGGAUGACGUCAAGUCCUCAUGGCCCUUAUGUCUAGGGCUACACACGUGCCACAAUGGAGAGUACAAAGGGUUGCCAGACCGCAAGGUUCAGCUAAUCCCAAAAAACUCUUCUCAGUUCGGAUUGCAGUCUGCAACUCGACUGCAUGAAGCUGGAAUCGCUAGUAAUCGCAGAUCAGAAUGCUGCGGUGAAUACGUUCUCGAGCCUUGUACACACCGCCCGUCACACCACCCGAGUUAGGAUACCCGAAGUCGCUGUACUAACCG
rnacentral:rRNA from 1 species